rnacentral:piRNA from 1 species
UCCUCUAGGUGACAGGAUAAAGUGUGAAC